ensembl:lncRNA
GAACUUUUCACCUUAAAAACAUCUUUAUCAGCACUGCGAAAGAGAUGUUUAAAACAGUCCCACUAAUGGUAAAAUGCCCAGCCUGCAGUUGUCACACGGUUCUGUUAAGGUUUUUGGUGCAAGGGGUAAAUGAAUUCUCUAUGUAAUCAUCUUAUGGAAGCAUUGUGAAAAGUCCGUGGCCCCCAAAGCAUGCAGAUGUCUUCCCUGUCUGGCAGAGGGCUGGACACCAGCUGUCCCUGUCACUGGUGGUGCAAUAAUAUGGAGUAUAACGUGGGCUAGUGCCUUUUCUUCUUUAUUAAUUGUAUUUAUGAAGAAAAUGUGAAAGUUUCUUCUCAAGAUCUCUGAGCAGCUUGAGUUGUAUAUUUUUGGAUCGAGUUCAGGCCUUGAAUUGAAGGAAUGCUGUACAGACAACCUGUGGGAUUCCAACAAUAUAGAUCUUUUGUCAAAAAUCUACAGGAGUUGUGCUUAAACUUCAGAGCUCCUUGAAUUUCUCACUAGGGAAAAGGCAUAUUUUUACCAUACUUGAGAGCAACUUUUUGGGAUAUACCUUGUACUGGUUAUGGUGUAAUCAUGAAACAACCCAUCUUUUUUUUUCCCCAACUUGUGAGUUUUGGCCGUGUUUAAUUGUCUGUUUUAGUUGGAGAGAAAUGCUCACUCUUAGGAUCACAGAAACAGCAUUUUAAAUUCUUCAGGCAGAAAAACAGCAGCAGGAAAGUUUCAGAGAGCAAAACUCAGCUCUCUUUCAGGUUCUCUUCAUGUUAAAUAUGCAGAAAUGGCUCACCUCAAUGUAUUUGACAGUAACUUUCAGUACCUGUGCCCAGGCCAACAGUGUCUGCUACCUGCUCUGUUCAGUGUCGGACUGAUGCAGGAUUAUACACUUCUUUCUGAAUAAGAUUGUGGUGAACCUUGCACUAGGAGAAUGGUAGAUGUCAAUGCAAAUUGGGACUCUUUCUUGUGCUGAUGUGGAAAAUCCAGUGUGUCCUUGCCAGCCUGAACCAUUAGCACUGUGUGAAACAUAGGUAUGGCCAUGGGGAGUUUGUUGUGAAUGCCCAUGUCUAGUUCAGUAGGAAGGACAGGAUUAAGUGAAGCCUACAUGGAAUGCACAGAACCACUACUCAGCCUUUUCUCCAGCUCUGUUUCUGGUUUUGAGGCAGAAAGAGAGUUUGUUUUCUAUGAGUGUGAACUUUUGUGGCAGAAUGUAAAACUAUAGAGUCCACUGCUGCUUCCAAUUAGAUUGAUACUGUGAACUGCUGCUCUUAUUCUUGGUAGCACCUCCUUUUGUUUUUUGGCCUCUCUGAAGACAGCAAAAUUCCUUUGUCUUCCUCAUGAUCCUUACUAACAUUGGACAUACAUCUCAGACUUCUGAUUGGUGCUGCUGUAGGUGGAACACAUGUGGAUUGGAAAGUCUACCGAGGGCCUCAUAGUAGAGGAUAGAAAGUGUGUUCCUUCAGAGUUGUCUCCCUGUUCUCUUCUGCUCUCUUCCUUGAAUUCUGUGUGUGGCUCUUGCAGCUGACAUCAUUUUCAUAGAGCCACAUCACCAAGAAUGUUCCAUUCUUUUUUACUGCUGGAGGUUCUCUGUGUGGGGUCAUUGAGCUAUCUGACUGCUGCCAGAGCUACCGUGCUCCAGGUGGCCACAAUGAGGUUAGGCUGGGGAAUUUGUUUGUCUGUCCCUUCAGUAGUUCUGGCUUUAUUGCCAAGCAUGUUUUCUGAGAACAGGCACACUGGAGGCAGUGACUGGCCUGGCCUGGCCUGACCAGAAAGACAUUAGCAGAAAAAGUCAGUAAAGGCAGUAUUGAUGCCUGGUUUGGGCUUGAGUAUUGAGGAUAAAGCAUACCUUCAAAGUUGUGCCUGGCACCUGGAACAGACCUGGGGGAGACAGUGCAGACUGCUGAAGCCUGAAUUAAUAUUUCUAGUACCCAGGAUUUUAAGACACAGUUAAGGCCCUGGGACUUCCAGACGUUUCUGCACUCCUCCUGGAUGGUGAUGUCUUUCAUGUCACUUGCCAAAGGGCAUUUCUGGACAGUAGGUUCACCUCUUGCAUUUUGUGCAGUCAUUGUCUGCUGUUCCAUUGCAGUCUGAAGACUUUGGUGUUUUUUUCUCCUUUUUUUUUUUCCAUUUAAAAAUGUUAUUGUUUUGACUCAUGACCCAGUGCACGUUAAAGAAAUAUUGCAGCACACCACUUAUAAUCUUUUUUUCAUGCUUUCUAUUUUACAAAGGAAAACAUUUUGUGUAUCCCACUGUAGCAUGCAGCUGUAAUAAUUCCUUUUUUACAGUACGCAGGAAUAGAUUGUUCUGUGAAUGCACCUUCAGCAGUGUGGCCUUUGUGUGUACUGCAUUGGAGAGGCAAAUACCAUUGCUGGAAAACACUAUUUCGAUGCUUCUUUACUCAGUUGUAUAGAGCAGUUCAGGAAGGAAGAAUAUUUUUGCAUCAACUUUUCAGCUGACAUAGCAAUAAAGAUUUUUACUUUUGACUAACUACAUAUUCUGAGUCUGUUACUGCACUGGAGGGAGUCUGUGCAAUAUCCCAGUCAC